GGCAGCCGCGGUAAUUCCAGCUCCAAUAGCGUAUAUUAAAGUUGUUGCAGUUAAAAAGCUCGUAGUUGAAUUUCGGGACUAACAGAUUGGUCGCGCCUUUGGUGUGUACUGGUCUAGUUGGUUUCUCCCUUCUGACGAACCACGAUGUCAUUAAUUUGGUGUCGUGGGAAAUCAGGACUGUUACUUUGAAAAAUUAGAGUGUUUAAAGCAAGCGCUAGCUUGAAUACAUUAGCAUGGAAUAAUGAAAUAGGACGUUUGACCCUAUUUUGUUGGUUUCUAGGAUCGACGUAAUGAUUAAUAGGGAUAGUUGGGGGCAUUAGUAUUCAAUUGUCAGAGGUGAAAUUCUUGGAUUUAUUGAAGACUAACUACUGCGAAAGCAUUUGCCA
rnacentral:rRNA from 1 species